rnacentral:rRNA from 1 species
AUGAAUACACCUUUUUCCUUGCUAAACUGGAAUGCACGUGGACUGAAUGAUAAAACCCGCCAUGGCGGGGUGCGCUCGCUCGUGAACCAGACACGAUGCGCUCUUGUAUGCGUCCAGGAAACCAAAAAGGUCGCGUUUACGCCGCCGGAGCUCUGUGAAACAGUAAGCCCCGCGCUCUCAGAGCAUGCCGUUUUGCCAGCGGAUGGUACGCGAGGCGGGAUCUUACUCGCUUGGAACCCGUCUGUCUUUCGCCUUGAUUGCAUUGCGGUCACCGAGUUCGCCAUCAGCGCCCGCGUCAAUCCUCUCCUUGGUGGCCAGCCCUGGUGGUUAACCUCCGUCUACGGGCCAACGGGCGACGCGGAUAAGCUGCGCUUCCUUGCUGAGCUCGCGGGUCUGCGUGCGGUGGCGCACGGGCCCUGGCUUAUCGUCGGCGACUUCAACCUCAUCUACGAGGCGCGCGACAAGAGCAGCUCGAACCUCAACCGCCGGCUCAUGACCUGCUUUUGGGACGCGCUGAAUGCUAGUGAGCUCCGCGAGCUCAAGCUGGCCGGGCGGCGUUUCACCUGGUCCAAUGAGCAGGCUAGGCCAGUGCUGGUGCGUCUGGAUCGGGCCUUCUGCAACGGUGACUGGGACCUCACCUUCCGAGGCGCCAGGCUACAGCCGCUGGCCACCGCCAUGUCGGAUCACUGCCCACUGCUACUCACUUGCGAGCCGCUGGUCCGGCGGCCGCCUUGCUUCCAUUUCGAGGCUUUCUAG